rnacentral:rRNA from 1 species
CUUUAUUGGAGAGUUUGAUCCUGGCUCAGGAUGAACGCUGGCGGCGUGCCUAAUACAUGCAAGUCGAGCGAAUGGAUUAAGAGCUUGCUCUUAUGAAGUUAGCGGCGGACGGGUGAGUAACACGUGGGUAACCUGCCCAUAAGACUGGGAUAACUCCGGGAAACCG